AAGUUGGAUGAUAAUAAUAUAUAU
rnacentral:miRNA from 1 species